GCCUGGGUGGCUCAGUUGGUUAAGCAUCUGACUUGGGCUCAGGUCAUGAUUUUGCGGUUUGUGGGUUCGAGCCCCAUGUCGGGCU
rnacentral:tRNA from 1 species